rnacentral:tRNA from 1 species
UCCCUGGUGGCUCAGAUGGUAAAGCGUCUGCCUGCAAUGCGGGAGACCCAGGUUCGAUCCAUGGUUUGGGAA